UUCAUUACACAUUUCCCAGUCCUGGUCCUCGAGGGCCGGUAUCCUGCAUGUUUUAGAUGUUUCCCUCUUCCGACACACCAGGUUCACAUGAUCAGCCUAUCACCCAGCUCUGCAGAAGCCUGAUAAUGACCUUCAGGUGUGCUGGAAGAGGGAAAAAUCUAAAACAUGCAGGAUACCGGCCCUCGAGGA